rnacentral:rRNA from 1 species
UACGUAGGGUGCAAGCGUUGUCCGGAAUUAUUGGGCGUAAAGAGCUCGUAGGCGGUUUGUCGCGUCUGGUGUGAAAACUCAGGGCUUAACUCUGAGCUUGCAUCGGGUACGGGCAGACUAGAGUGUGCUAGGGGAGACUGGAAUUCCUGGUGUAGCGGUGAAAUGCGCAGAUAUCAGGAGGAACACCGAUGGCGAAGGCAGGUCUCUGGGCAUUAACUGACGCUGAGGAGCGAAAGCAUGGGGAGCGAACAGG